rnacentral:rRNA from 1 species
AGUGAACGCUGGCGGUAGGCCUAACACAUGCAAGUCGAACGGCAGCACAGUAAGAGCUUGCUCUUACGGGUGGCGAGUGGCGGACGGGUGAGGAAUACAUCGGAAUCUACUUUUUCGUGGGGGAUAACGUAGGGAAACUUACGCUAAUACCGCAUACGACCUACGGGUGAAAGCAGGGGAUCUUCGGACCUUGCGCGAUUGAAUGAGCCGAUGUCGGAUUAGCUAGUUGGCGGGGUAAAGGCCCACCAAGGCGACGAUCCGUAGCUGGUCUGAGAGGAUGAUCAGCCACACUGGAACUGAGACACGGUCCAGACUCCUAAGGGAGGCAGCAGUGGGGAAUAUUGGACAAUGGGCGCAAGCCUGAUCCAGCCAUACCGCGUGGGUGAAGAAGGCCUUCGGGUUGUAAAGCCCUUUUGUUGGGAAAGAAAAGCAGCAGGUUAAUACCCCGCUGUUCUGACGGUACACAAAGAAUAAGCACCGGCUAACUUCGUG